UUUCGAUAGCCUAAAAGUUAAGUCCAAUUUGUAAGGAGUUGGAACGUUCGCCUAUGUUUGCCGCUAGGGGCACUGUUUCAACUCCAUACAAAUUUGAGUUAACUUUUACGCUAUCGA
rnacentral:pre_miRNA from 9 species